AUGUUGGUCAAACGGAGCAUCUUCGCUUCCUGCCCCCUCGAUGCUUUUUGCCCGUUCAUCAUAGUGCUGUUGGCGGCUGCGUACAUCCAUGUGCCAGCCACUGCUAUUGUUGCUGUUCCAAGUUCUCAUUGUUAUACAUUCGACAGUGAUAGCCACCUUGUUGACUUCACACACCUGGCCGGGAAGAAUUUUGAAUACAAUGAGGAGGGCUCAGUAACUUCUGACUUGGUUGUCCAGUUAUGCAAAGAUGUGCAGAGAAGGUCUCAGGCGGGUGGUUUCAUUGAUUUUGGCCGCUUUACAAAUCAUCGCUCUUUUGAGACUGGUUCAAAGCUGGUUGACUACAUCCAGAGAUUUCACAAUGGUGAUUUAGCGAAAUGUGAAACUACGUUUGAAGAGAUGGGCCGUACUGCACAGGUCAACAUUAUGUGUGGACGAUGCUCAAAUAAAGUAUGCAAAGAUGAACAUGGAUGCAUUUGCAGAGUAUCCUAUGAUGAAAGGAUGUGCAGGACGGUUGUUGAGCUAGCCAUUCCUUGUCCUAAAAGAGGCCCAAGAGUUUUUAAGGGUUUCACUGUGGGCUUCCACCCCCGGUCAUCCGAAGUGGUUUACAAUGGAUUGACUCAACUGGGAUUCGAACAACAUCAUGGGUUUAGCUUUCCAAGUGAGCAGAUUCACGUGUCUUUAUAUCUUAGCGCCAUGUCUUCUCUCGCAGACCUAGUUGGAAAACCUACCAUCAGGGUUAAUCCGAUGAAAGGGCUUGAUGUUAUGCUUACAGGAUCAGGGGCCAAUGGCGCCGUGCCUACUGCCCUGUCUCCAACAGUUCUGAAUGUGAAUUGGAUAUGUGAAAUCAUUCGAAGCAAUCCAUAUGUGGUGAAUGUUUCAAUCCCAGUGGUGGGCUACGAUCCAAUCGAAUUCACGCUUACCAAAGAAUGUGGUUACACACAAGAAAAAGAGAGUGAUUCUAUGAGAGGGUGGGCAACAUUUGGAAUCAUUUCUUGCAUAUUCAUUGUCUUUUCGAGCCUACUUUGUUGUGGGGGGUUCAUCUACAAAAGUCAUGUGGAGCAUCAGGAUGGUUUACAUGCACUGCCUGGGAUGACUACCGUGUCUGCCUUUCUGGAUGCUGUUGGAAGACCAAGAGGCUACCUAAGAGCAGGUGAUCCUAGUGGAAAUCAUUCAAGCCAAGCAUCGUGGGAGAACACUUCUGUUACCACACCAGCAGCACAGAGGACAAAUGAUGGAAGAUAUGGGAGAAUAUGA
rnacentral:rRNA from 1 species